rnacentral:rRNA from 1 species
AGAGUUUGANCCUGGCUCAGGAUGAACGCUAGCGACAGGCCUAACACAUGCAAGUCGAGGGGCAGCACAAGGUAGCAAUACUGAGGUGGCGACCGGCGCACGGGUGAGUAACGCGUAUGCAACCUGCCUGUAACAGGGGGAUAGCCUCUUGAAAGAGAGAUUAAUACCGCAUAAUACAGUUGAACGGCAUCGUUCGACUUUUAAACAUUUAUGGGUUACAGAUGGGCAUGCGUUUCAUUAGGUAGUUGGUGAGGUAAUGGCUCACCAAGCCGACGAUGAAUAGGGGUUCUGAGAGGAAGGUCCCCCACACUGGUACUGAGACACGGACCAGACUCCUACGGGAGGCAGCAGUGAGGAAUAUUGGNCAAUGGACGCAAGUCUGAACCAGCCAAGUCGCGUGAAGGAUGAAGGUAUUAUGUAUUGUAAACUUCUUUUGUCAGGGAAUAAUGACCGCUACGUGUAGCGGNAGAGNAAUGUACCUGACGAAUAAGCAUCGGCUAACUCCGUGCCAGCAGCCGCGGUAAUACGGAGGAUGCGAGCGNUUAUCCGGAUUUAUUGGGUUUAAAGGGUGCGUAG